rnacentral:tRNA from 35 species
GGGGCCUUAGCUCAGCUGGGAGAGCGGUUCGCUGGCAGCGAACAGGUCAGCGGUUCGAUCCCGCUAGGCUCCACCA